GGCAGGAAACUAGGGUGUGUUCCGAAAUGCACUCGGAGAGCAUUCUGGUGCACUCUGGACCGUUUAGCAACUCGGAGCAUUUUUGGAAUAUGCCGUUCGGGUAUUCAUAGCGCUACACACUGAUAAUACCGGCGCCUCUCUCACCACUCUGGCCGGAGAGACAGAGUGUCGGAGUGUAAGGCAAGCUGUUCACGCCGUCGUUCACGCCGUCGUUCAAGCCGUCGUUCAAGUCGUCGUUCAAGUCGUCGCUCAAGUCGUUCAAGCGAGGCGGUAGUUCGUAAAUUCAAAAGAAAAAGAACACGCUGUGCCGUUCGGGACACUCGCACCCGAGAGUAGAGGUAGGGCAUCAGAUGACAUUUCCAAAUGUAACACAAGUAUGUACCUAAAAGUGUAAUAUUCAAUGUGCAAUUUUUGAAAAUGAUAAAAGGAGGAUAUUGUAUCAUUUGUGGAGGCAGAGGAGUGGUGCUACUCACACUGUGGCGUUGCUGUGAGUCGCAUGUGUGACGGACCGCUGCUGAAUGUGGCCGAAUGCACCCGCGCAUGGUACGGCAGGAAUAAUGACUGUCCUUGAAUGCACCCCAUGCCGGAUGUGGCUGCCUAAUGUAAACAUGAAUGGCGGCCGCACUGAAUCUGUUGCCAAAUAAAAAACAAUUUAAGCUAACGCUAACCUUAACCCUUUUAUUGAUUGAUUUUGUUGUCUUGUUCGGCUGUUAGGUCAAGCAGAAUGGAAAAAUCUGUAUCCCUUUCAUGCCGGAACAGCUUUACUGUGUUACAGUGGAGUUUUGAAGCUUCCGCUGUGGUAUUAUUAUAAUUGAGGUUUGUUGGCCCAGGGGUCCACCCGAGAGCAGCCCAGCGGACGGGACCCGUCCCACACCGAGGGACCCAGGGCGGUCCGCCGGCCCCACCGAGGCGCCCCGGCAACUGGCCACCCGGUGGGGGCCGCAGGGACCCAAAUGCCCCUCCCCACCACCCAACCCGCCGCCCCACACGCGGAACCUCCCCCCCUCCACCCCCAGGAGAUCGAGACGCCCCACCCCCCCCAACCCGCAGGGCCCGCAAUGCAGCCAGUCCCUGCCCUACUGUCUGAAUUUUAAUCAAAGUAGCAUUACAGUGUAUAGCUGCCUUAAUUAUUUCCUUAUUUCAUACUUGUCUAUUUUCUACACGUUAAGCGUUGUGCCACCCCAAAAUUACCCCGGGUCUCACCCACCCCCUCUAAGGAUUCUCUGGCUUCGCCCCUCCUUGCUAUGAGGCUCCACAGAAGCUCUGACCACUCUGGCGCCACUAAAAGAAUUCACUGCUAUCUGAAAGAACACUCUCAAUUCAAUCCACGAUAACCGUACUGAUAUAAAGUGAAAUCUUUUCAUGUUGUAUUCGAGAAAAAUCGGAUGCGUAAAAUGUUCCAGUCGAUUUUUAUUAAAAGAUCUGAGACUCUCGGCUGGGUUACCAGCCAGAACUCUUUCUGAGCACAUGAAAAAUUAUUCCUCUAACAGAGCAGGGGCUCACAGGUAAUUGGCCUACUGAUUAAUUCAAAGCACCUGAAAAGCUUCCCGGCCAAGACGAAGAUGUGCCCAUAAUGUGGACUCAUCUCACACCACUCCAGAAACGGAUUUUACUUGGAAACUUUGACUGUUUCCAGGCUACUCAAGCAGACGGCGUCCAUUGGCAUGCAAAUGCAUCACCCCUGAGGGGGUUGUAAAGUUGUGUGCUAAGUGAGCCGGUCUAACCCUGACAAUAUCAUCUCCUCAGCGUCAGUCUGCUCAAUUCCCUCUUCGAGUUGACAAGCUUGUCAAUAUUUCUACCUCACGCACACACAUCUUUUCACUGCACGCGAGCGGGCAGAGGAGUGUGAAGUGAAGGCUCGAAAAACAACAAGCGCGUCAGCUGCAGACACCAGCUGCUAUCCAGCAGAAUAUCCAUUUGAAUGCGCUUUGCUUCCUCCCUGUUGCGCUUUGCCAUGUCAGUCUAAACACUUUCAGCUUUAUCAGUCUGACAUGUUCACUCACCUUGAAAGGCCUAUUUGUCUCCUAGCUUUGCAAACGUGAUGAAAAAUGUUUCAUAUAUACUUUUUUUCAGAGUCACUCACUUUUCAUCGUUGUGUCUAAACCAAAGGCACCUCAAAGUUUUGCAUAGGAAGCGUUUGACCGUGAUGCUUGGAGCGCAGUCCUGAAAUCUCAACAGAGGCACAUUGACAAGAAGUGUGAUCAUUCUCAACUGUUGUGAAUGCGAGCCAGUUGUUGAAAUUGGAUGCCAUCAGCUUUUCCCUGAAAGACUGCCAAUUGCGAUACAAUUGGAGUUGAAUUGAAUUUCAUCAGAAAACUCAACAUAAACAAUCUUAUCAGAGCAGAGAGCCAGAUGAAGAUAAAGAACAAUCAAAAUCCAUAUACUUAAACUGAAUUCAUCGCGCAUGUCACAACUAUUGUACAUUACUAUUGUAGUGGAAUCCUGCAAACAGAUUUACCAUAGCAGUGAUUUCGACUAAGUUUGGCUAACAAUGACAGAUACGUUCUCCUAUCAAAUUUAUAAGUACCCAAAUUAACCGUGAUACUCUUGUGAUGCUGGCACACUUGAUUUUUUUUAUUCUGAAAUAAAACAUAUGGGUGAAAGCGAUGUGUCAGCCAUAUUUGCAACUCUG